AAGAAGUCCACAUUGGUAGAGGGAUGGGAAAUUGGUCUCCUUAUAUGGACUUGGACAAACCUCCCGUCAUGAGUUAGCUUUUGGGGUUGAGUUAGACCCAGGUGUCAUAUCUUUACAUGGUAUCAGAGCCGGCCCAUCCCAAGUUGCUGUUCACGGAUGUUGGACCCCCAUUUAGAAAUGUUCACGCUCCAGUUGAGGUCUGGGUGUGCGGGGGAGUGUUAAGAAGUACCACAUCAAUAGUGGGAUGGGAAAUUGGUCUCCUUAUAUGGACUUGGACAAACCUCCCCUCAUGAGCUAGCUUUUGGGGUUGAGUUAGGCCCAGGUGCCAUAUCUAUACAAUGGUUAUGGUGCUUCUUAAAUGGUUAGCCUAUCAUUUGAAUGAAGCUAUUGCUUCCGGUAAUACAUUUUGGUGAUGAACGUUCAGAAAUGAGUUUCGAUUGAGAAGCUAGCUUCUAGAACACUUGCAUGAAAUUGGAAGUAAUUGGUGCUUCUUAAAUGGUUAGCCUAUCAUUUGAAUGAAGCUAUUGCUUCCGGUAAUACAUUUUGGUGAUGAACGUUCAGAAAUGAGUUUCGAUUGAGAAGCUAGCUUCUAGAACACUUGCAUGAAAUUGGAAGUAAUUGGUGCUUCUUAAAUGGUUAGCCUAUCAUUUGAAUGAAGCUAUUGCUUCCGGUAAUACAUUUUGGUGAUGAACGUUUAGCAAUGAGUUUCGAUUGAGAAGCUAGCUUCUAGAACACUUGCAUGAAGUAAUUGGGUAGAAAAUGGAAGUGCUUGAAGAAGGUGGUUUGUAUUUAUAUGUAGAAAAAUCACUGAAGGGAAACUAGAUCUACAUUAUUGUGUUUGAAAAAGUGAAAGCUGAGAAGCUAAUUCAACACAAUAGCAAUUUCCCCCUUUUUUUGGUGUGAUAAUGGAUAAGUAAGCUCAUUAAAAGUUUAUAAGAAUUAAAACAAAGUAUGGCAUCUAAAAUAAAUCUCAUCGACAAGAGGAUAAUCUUUAACAUUAUACUGUUAUUAACAUCAAGUCGAGGUAAUAUUUACCACCUGAGUGAAAUUAAUUAUUUCACAUAACAGAAAACAAUGUUAAGUUGGAUAAGGGGUGACUGAUCUAUGAGUGACAUUGUAAGCUUUAGGAGCUCGUACUGAGGCUAUAUCGUAUUGGUUUAUGGUUUCUGCUAGUAUUUCAUCUCUCAUUUUCUGGACAUGAGAUAUCUGAUCAUUUUUCUGUUGUGCAGUAC
rnacentral:lncRNA from 1 species